rnacentral:rRNA from 1 species
AUUGAACGCUGGCGGCAUGCUUUACACAUGCAAGUCGAACGGCAGCGCGGGCUUCGGCCUGGCGGCGAGUGGCGCAAGGGUGAGUAAUACAUCGGAACGUGCCCAGUAGUGGGGGAUAGCUAGGCGAAAGCAGGAUUAAUACUGCAUACGACCUGAGGGUGCAAGCGGGGGAUCUUCGGACCUCGCGCUAUUGGAGCGGCCGAUGGCCGAUUAGCUAGUUGGUGGGGUAAAGGCCUACCAAGGGGACGAUCUGUAGGUGGUCUGAGAGGACGGCAGGCCACACUGGGAGGUGAACACGGCCCAGGCUCCUACGGGAGGCAGCAGUGGGGAAUGUUAGACAGUGGGCGAAAGCCUGGUCCAGCAAUGCCGCGUGUGAGAUGGAGGCCUUCGGGUUGUAAAGCACUUUUGGCGGGAACGAAAAGGACUGUGCCAAUACCACGGUUCGAUGACGGUACCCGCAGAAUAAGCACCGGCUAACUACGUG